rnacentral:rRNA from 1 species
GGGCCCGCACAAGCGGUGGAGUAUGUGGUUUAAUUCGAUGCAACGCGAAGAACCUUACCAGGGUUUGACAUCCUGCGAAUUUCUGGGAAACCGGAAAGUGCCUUCGGGAGCGCAGUGACAGGUGGUGCAUGGCUGUCGUCAGCUCGUGUCGUGAGAUGUUGGGUUAAGUCCCGCAACGAGCGCAACCCACGUCUUUAGUUGCCAGCAUGUAAUGAUGGGAACUCUAACGGGACUGCCGGUGCAAACCGCGAGGAAGGUGGGGAUGACGUCAAAUCAUCACGGCCCUUACGUCCUGGGCUACACACGUGCUACAAUGGCCGGUACAGAGGGCAGCCACACCGCAAGGUGGAGCGAAUCCUUAAAACCGGUCUC